rnacentral:rRNA from 1 species
UACGUAGGGGGCUAGCGUUGUCCGGAAUCAUUGGGCGUAAAGCGCGCGUAGGCGGCCCGGUAAGUCCGCUGUGAAAGUCAAAGGCUCAACCUUUGAAUGUCAGCGGAUACUGCCGGGCUAGAGUCCGGAAGAGGCGAGUGGAAUUCCUGGUGUAGCGGUGGAAUGCGCAGAUAUCAGGAGGAAUACCGGUGGCUAAGGCGGCUCUCUAGUACGGUACUGACGCUGAGACGCGAAAGCGUGGGGAGCGAACAGG